AUUGAACGCUGGCGGCAUGCCUUACACAUGCAAGUCGAACGGCAGCACGGCAGUAGCAAUACUGUGGGUGGCGAGUGGCGGACGGGUGAGGAAUACAUCGGAAUCUGCCUAGUCGUGGGGGAUAACGUAGGGAAACUUACGCUAAUACCGCAUACGACCUACGGGUGAAAGCGGGGGAUCGCAAGACCUCGCGCGAUUAGAUGAGCCGAUGUCCGAUUAGCUAGUUGGCGGGGUAAUGGCCCACCAAGGCGACGAUCGGUAGCUGGUCUGAGAGGAUGAUCAGCCACACUGGAACUGAGACACGGUCCAGACUCCUACGGGAGGCAGCAGUGGGGAAUAUUGGACAAUGGGCGCAAGCCUGAUCCAGCAAUGCCGCGUGCAGGAAGAA
rnacentral:rRNA from 1 species